rnacentral:rRNA from 1 species
UACGGGGGGGGGCAAGCGUUGUUCGGAAUUACUGGGCGUAAAGGGCUCGUAGGCGGCCAACUAAGUCAUGCGUGAAAUCCCUCGGCUUAACCGGGGAACUGCGUCUGAUACUGGAUGGCUUGAGUUCGGGAGAGGGAUGCGGAAUUCCAGGUGUAGCGGUGAAAUGCGUAGAUAUCUGGAGGAACACCGGUGGCGAAGGCGGCAUCCUGGACCGAUACUGACGCUGAGGAGCGAAAGCCAGGGGAGCAAACGGG